UCCCCCAGCCACAGCUGGCUUCUCCAGGAACCUGAUGACCUAGUUACAAUGCUUAGAAAUUGUCAGCUUAGCUUGCAGUUCAGGGCUUUGCCAGUCUUUCCUCUCUGAGGCUUCUUGGGUCCAAAAGGUGCCUUGGCAUUUCCCCAAGGGGGUUCCAUGUGAAUGACACACACUGUAUCACAUGUACAGGCUUCUUGCCCAGGGGAGGAAAGAGCCAGUAAGGCUACUGCUUCUUCCCUUGUGUGUGCCCCCCAACUCCAGGGAGAAAAUACUCCCAUGUCCUUGCCCCCUUCUGUUUCUCUCUAGAGGGUUGGUGAGUGACAAAUGGGAGGUCACAAACUUCUUCCCUUGAGGGUCAAUGAAGAGGGCCAGACCCUUGUUGCCCUAAGGAUAGAUUGAGCACACCUAGCCAUUCUUUCCUUACCUCCCCAUCUCAGUGGGAUGUUAAAACCUGAUGGAAAGGGGUUAGGAAGACUCUUCUAGGGGCUCUGGAGGCCCCCCACUCUCUCAGGCAGCAGCUGCUCCUGGUAUUCCUGGUGUCUGCCUUGCCUCCUUGGGAGAAAUUCCAUCGUUGUUAAGAGUCAGGAGUUCCUGAUAAAGUGGUCUUAGCAGGCGUGGAAGAGACUGAUUUUAAAGAAAACAGGAGAGGGAGUGGUAAGGAAAGACUGGGGAGGGGAUUUUCAGGCUGUUGCCAGUCGUUUUCCUAGAGCCUAUUCCUACUGCCUCUAGGAUUAAGUUUCCUACCUUCCCCUUUUUCUUCCAGGACCACCACAGGAUAAUUUUUAUUUUCUUUCUUUAUUUUUUUUUAUUUUUAUUUUUUUUGUAGAGACGGGAUCUCACUAUGUCUCCCAGGCUGGUUUCGAACUCCUGGUCCCAAGCAAUCAACCCGCCUCAGCCUCCUAAAGUGUUAGUAGGAUUACAGGCAUGAGCCACCGCACCCAGCUUUCUUUAUUCCUUCCCUCUUCCCUCCCCUUCCCUUCCCCUUUCUUCCUUUCCUUUUCUUCUUUAAUUAUAGAGACAGGGUCUUGCUAUGUUGCCCAGGCUAGUCCUGAACUCCUGGCCUCAAGCAGUCCUCCUGCCUCUGCUUCCGAAAGUACUGAGAUUACAGGCAUGAGCCACUGUGCCUAGCCAAUUUUUAUUUUAAUGGUAUUCUUCUUUCCCUAUUAUUUUACCUGGACAGACUUAACCCAGAGGAUAGAGGAACCUCAUCAUGGAUCCUGGUCCGCUUUUAGCUUAACAGCAUCCAAAGACAAAGGGUCAGAGAUGGUAGCAACCCUAGUGUGGUUGAUUACACAAUAUCGGUGUUAUUUUGUUGUCAUAGGAUGCAAAUAUCAGAGUUGUAUCUCUUAAGAUCUUUCUGUGACAGUACAUAAAAGCUUUCUAAGUUUUUUUAAUGCUGCAUGGUAUUCUACACAGGGCACUAUUCUAUACUUUAUUUAACCAGUUCCCAUUGGUAGACACAUUUUUUUUCCAGUCUUUUGCAGUUAUAAUAGUGACACUCAGUGAAUAGCCCUGUAUAUUUGUCAUUUGGCCCAUAUAUGAAUACAGUAUAUCUGGGGCGGAUGAAUCCCUAAAAGUAGAAUUACUGGGGCCAAGGGUAUGUGUACUUGGGAUUUUAAUAGGGUUAGUUAGCCUGGGCCCAUAGCAGUGGGUACCAGUUUACCGGAGUAUCUUUUUUCUUAACACCCUUCCACCCAAGUGGAGAGUUUGGUUCAGCAUCUUUUUCUUUUUUUUUCUUUUCUUUCUCUUUUUUUUUUUUUUUUUUUUUUUUUUUGGAGACAGAUUCUUGCUCUGUCAGCCAGGCUGGAAUGCAGUGGCACGAUCUUGGCUCACUGCAACCUCCACCUCCUGGGUUUAAGCAAUUCUUCUGCCUCAGCCUCCCAAGUAGCUGGAACUACAGGUGCCCACCACCUUGCUGGGCUAAUUUUUGUAUUUUUAGUAGAGACAGGGUUUUGCUGUGUUCGCCAGGCUGGUCUCAAACUCCAGACCUCAGGUGAUCCACCCACCUCAGCCUAUCAAAUUGCUGGGAUUUAUAGGUGUGAGCCACUGCGCCGGCCAUCAGCACAUUUCUUGAGUGCCUUCCCGUACCUGGCCCUGGAUAUAAGAUAAACACUUUCAUGUAUCAAGUGAAAUUGUUACUAUUUGCCAGGCACCGGCACAUUAUCUGAUAAUCCUCAUAACCACUCAAAGAGGAAGGCUUUUAGAUGAGAAAAGUGAAGCUCAGAAGAGUUAAAUAGGGUGCCAUGGUCAUGGUCCAGCUAUUAAGUGGCAGAGCUAAGAUUAAGCCCAGGUUUCAAUCCUCUGACGCUUGUGCUUUUACAGUACACCCUUACCUGCCUCUCAGGAGGAAGAACAUAAUGGUCUUAUUGUCUAAUACAGAUAAUGAAUCAGGCUCAGAGAGGGUAACUGGCCACAAAACACCCAGCCUGGAAGCUAUGAGGAACCCACAUAUGUCUGAUCGGAGGCCUCUGGUCUACACUGAGCUGCCUGCCUCCCUCCCAGGGAAAGAGUUUGAGAAUUUUCUUUUUUUUUUUUUUUUUUUUUUUUUGAGACUGAGUCUCUUUCUGUCACCAAGCUGGGGGAGUGCAGUGGCAAUCUUGGCUCACUGCAACCUCCGACUCCCGGGUUCAAGCGAUUCUCCUGCCUCAGCCUCCCGAGUAGCUGGGAUUACAGGCGCAUGCCACCACACCCGGCUAAUUUUUUUUGUAUUUUUAGUAGAGAAGGGGUUUCACCGUGUUUGCCAGGAUGGUCUCGAUCUCCUGACCUCAUUAUCCUCCUGCCUUGGCCUCCCAAAGUGCUGGGAUUACAGGUGUGAGCCACCGCGCCCGACCGAGAAUUUUCUCCAUUCAGAGCUUCACUUGCUAUAGAGAGCCUAAAGUCACUGGUUCUUAGUGUGCAUCUAUUGGCCAUCAGAGGGUCCUUUAGGGAUGACCCAUCUGUGCUUAAUUUACUAGUGACAGUAUAGUUGCUGCUAUUUAUUGAGUGCCUGCCAUGUGCAAGAUGCUGUAAGGUACACUGUAGUUUGUUUUAUUUUGUUUUGUUUUGUUUUUGUAGAGAUGGAGGUCUUGUUGUCUUGACCAGGUUGGUCUCAAACUCCUGGCUUCAAAUGAUCCUCCUUCCUGGACCUCCCAAAGUUCUGGGAUUACAGGUGUGAGCCACCACACUCGGCCAGUGUAGUAUUUUUAAUCUUCACAAUAAUCCUUCUUGGGAAACAUGUUAUUGUCCUCAUUGUCCAGAUUAGAAAACUGAGUGUAAAGUAAGUUAAAUUAUAGUCCUAAGGUUGAAUGCUAAUAAAGACAGAAUACACGCCCAAUAUAUUGGACUCAAAAGCCCUCACUCAACUGUGGUCUCCAUGGACUUUCUUUGGCUUUCUCUGCCUUUUUUUACUUUUCCUUAUUGCUUGAGGCCCUUUCUGGAAGGUAAGUCUGGAUUAUCUACUUCACACUGUUUUAGAGGAGAAGACUGGUGGUUUCCAUUUACCCCUUACUCCCUCUGCUCCGUGGCCUUUCAGGGAGAACACUGUGGGUAUUGUGCUGGGUGGCCUGGAGGUUCCAAGUAACAGGAAUCUAGAAGGAUGGACCAGAUGUGAACAAAAGAAAGCCUGAGUAGGACACAAAACAGAGAAGUGGGGCUAUAACAUCUCUAAGAUAUGACAGCUUGCUACUUCCACUCUCCUUGCAAAUGUGGUGAAACCCAGGCUGGAGUCAUGAAAUAAUAGCUUAGGAUCAUUAACUAAAGUUUGUCUAGUGCUUCCUUGUGUUCACACAUUAUCUCAUUGAGCCUCUGACGAUUCUAGGAGGAGGUAAAUAGGGUCUUCCUCUUACCUUGGGUGAACUGAGGUCUUCUGACUAAGUCUCAAGUCCUUUCUACCAUUGUGCUGCAUCCACAUCUCUACCGGGAAGAACACAGGCUCUGCAGUCAGACACACCUGGGUUUGAACCACCUCCAUUUUGUGUCUGUUGGAUCUUCAGCAAGUGAAUUCACCUUUGUGACCAUCCAUGUCUUCAUAAAAUAAGAGUUUUAAACACACAUGAGGGCCUGGCAUAUACAAAACAUUGAAUAAAUAGCAGUGAUCUUUUUAUUGACAUCAAAAGGGGGUUGGGGACCCAGAGGCUGUUCUGGCUCCUAUGGCAUAGCUCUUGGAACCUGUUAAUUUUCAAGGACAGGGGUUUGCAAGUCAGAGCAAUGUCAAGUAAAGAACAGGUUCUUUGGGAGGCCAGGGUAUGCUAAUGGGUGAACAAUGUAAGGGAGGCAUAAUAAUAAUGCCAAAGGCCUCCUAGAGUGCCUGUUUUACUGCACUUUUGGGUCUUUGGUUUAUAUAUGAAGAAAAUGAGGUGCCCCCAGAGGGGAAGUGAGUUGCCAUUGUUACACAGUAAGUUAAUAAAUGGCAUUGCUGAGAUUAGAACUCAGUCUUUUGUCUGCCAAGAAAGCUUACACUCCACUGCUCCCUUGGGGGAAAAAAAAGGCCCAGGGAUAGGAUCUUAGUGCUUUCAAGCUGGAGAGAAAGCCUUAGAGAUCAUCUGAUCCAUACUCCACACUUGUCAGAUGAGAAAAGUGAGGCCUGUGGUGCUUAAUUGACAGGACCAUAGCCAAAUAGAGCCACCACACAACCAGGAGUAAGCUCACGUUUCUUGAACCUGACCAUGUGGAACUUUCAAAUUGCCUUUUUUCUGUGGGGAACUAGAGCCUCACUGCAAAUGUCAGUGGUUUACAAUAAGAACAACUGUUUAGUUUGGGGAACUUUUUUCCAAAUAGAAUCUUCUUUUUCUCUCUCUCAAUUCUUUUUUUUUUUUUUUUUGAGAUGGAGUCUUGCUCUGUCACCCAGGCUGGAGUGCAGUGGCACGAUCUCGGCUCACUGCAAGCUCCGCCUCCUGGGUUCACACCAUUCUCCUGCCUCAGCCUCCCGAGUAGCUGGGACAACGGGCACCCGCCACCACGCCUGGCUAAUUUUUUGUAUUUUUAAUAGAGACGGGGUUUCACCGUGUUAGCCAGGAUGGUCUCGAUCUCCUGACCUCGUGAUCCACCCACCUCGGCCUCCCAAAGUGCUGGGAUUACAGGCGUGAGCCACCACACUUGGCUCUCUUUCUCAAUUCUUAAUAAAAAUAUACUAGAAGAAGAAAAACAAAGCUUUAAUGGAGGACCUUGGUAGAAAGCAGGUAAAAAUUAUAUAGAGUCUGUCAAAUCUAGGGAGGUCCCCAGAGCCAGUAAAUUUAGAGGCCAGCCUUCUCACCUAUCCCAGCUAGCUUAUCGCUUGUCUUGCCCUAUUCACAAUAGGCCUUCAGAAGGCCCAGCCUUCCCUUGGCAGCUGCAUGUGGUGAACACCAACGGAAAUCCCUGGUAUUUUUCUUUGCAUGCAGCCAACCGUGGAGAUGUAGGUCAGGCAUUGCUGGCCUGGCAGUUACAACAUCUCUAGCUUCACCCCCUGCACCUGUAGCUGUGUUCACUAAGCCCCACAAAGAUGGGAAAUGGAUGGUCCCUUAAUAGGGUUUGGAUCCCCAAGGGCUCAUAUGGGUGGAGCUGGCUGGGACUGGAGUGAGUUUGGGAGGAGACAGACCAUCCAGAAUGUGGAGAUGAGAAGGGUGGCUCUGACUCUUUCCUCCUUAAUGUCUGAUGUCUGGCGUGACUAUAGCUGGAUUGGCGGUGCUUCUGCCCAGCUCAGCUUAGAGUAAUCAUCACUGAUGGAGGAGACUGGGGAGGUCCCAUCCUUCCCCCAGGCUCAGCUGGGUCCCCAGACCUACACUUGAACCCCACGCCUGUCUGGUGUUUACAGGAUUGAAGCUGCCACCCUUUGGGACCUAUCCUGUUUUCAUUUCUGCUCUCAGCUGUCUGGUCUCUGUGGACCUCACUUACAGGUUUGUACGUGCCUGUCGCCCACAACGCAGCCCCAUGAGGCUCUCACAGCCUGGCACACUCAUGCGUUUUUGGCCUUUGUUCUCUUCAGCAGAACUGCUAGCUCUAUGCCUUGCUAGGGAGGGCUUUCCUGGCCCCUCACAUAGAUUCUGUUGGUCCAACCUAGCUAUACCUUUCCUGAGAUUCAGUCUCUUUGUCCACACCCUGGGGGACAGGGCUGUGGUUCCAAGGCAUGUUGGGGGGUACCUGUGGGCCAUUCUGGACUGGCUUCCGGUCAGCUGGCUGACUCUGCCCUGGGUCUCAAAUAUCUCCUCUGUAAAGGUGUUAGACCAAGAUCUUCAAGGUAACUUAGAGGUGAUAUGCAGAUGGACAUUUUCUGUUUUAAUAGUCAGUGUAUUUUAUGUUGAUUUCCAUCUGGGGCAAAUGAUACUGUUUAUAGGAAGAAUAAUAAGUUGCCUUUUCAUUGCAUUUAUUUAUUUAGAAAAUAUUUACUGAGUGUCUGCUAUCUGCCAACCACUAUUCUAGCUACUGGGGAUACCUGCCUUCAUGAAGUUCACAUUCUUUUUUUUUUUUUUUUUUUUUGAGAUGGAGUUUCACUCUUGUUGCCCAGGCUGGAGUGCAGUGGUGCAGCCUCGGCUCACUGCAACCUCUGACUCCCGGGUUCAAGCGAUUAUUUUGCCUCAGCCUCCUGAGUAGCUGGGAUUACAGGUGCCUGCCACCACGCCCAGCUAAUUUUUGUAUUUUUAGUAGAGAUGGGGUUUCACUAUGUUGGCCAGGCUGGUCUCGAACUCCUGAUCUCAGGUGAUCCACCUGCCUCGGUCUCCCAAAGUGCUGGGAUUACAGGCGUGAGCCACUGCGCCCGGCCAUCAUGAAGUUUACAUUCUAAGAGGAUAGAGAGUGAUUAGGCGGCCGGUGGUAGGCAGCUUUUGGUAUGUUUGCCUUUUUAAUAAAGGAUAAUUAAGAAAGGCCUCUGAGGAGGAGGCAUAUGAGCAGAGAUCUGCAUGAUCUGUCUGAGGGAGGAAACCAUGUAACAGUCUAUGGAAAAAACAUUCCAGACAUAAGGAACAAGUACAGAGGCCAAAGGGUGGGAAUGAUGUGCCUGGCAUGUUUGAGGAAGAGCACGGGAGAUGAGUGUGGCUAGAACAGAGUAAGCAGAGAAGUGAUUGGAAAGGAAAGUUUGUGUGAGCAGUGGUGAGACAUUUUGGUUCUUCCUCUGGGUGAGAUGGGAAGGCAGUGGAGGGUUUUGAGCAGACAGGAAACUGACUUUGCUGACCCCUCUGGCUGCCAUGUGGUGAAAGAACCUUGGAGUCGAUAAGAAGCUGGGAGACCAGUAAGGAGGCUGUUAGGACAAUACAGGCAAGAAAUGAUACUGGCUUGGACCAAAUAAUAGCAGUGGAGGUGGUGGGAAGUGGUGGGAUUCUAGAUAAAUUUGGAAUACAGAUUCAUCAGGAUAUAUUGACAGAUGAGUCCUAGAGGGGAUUUAAGGAUGAGAAAGAUGCAGAAAGAACAGGUUUGAGGAAGAAAUUAAGGAUUUUCAGUACAUUUAUUUAAAUUUAUAAAAAGUAAGUAAAUUGAUAGAAUAAUGUUAAGUAAGCCAGGCACAGUGGCUCACGGCUAUAAUCCCAGCACUUUGGGAGGCCAAGGCGAGAGGAUAGCUUGAGCUCAGUAGUUCAGGACCAGACUGGGCAACAUAGUGAGACCUUAUCUCUACAAAAAAAGAAAAAGAAAAAAAAAUUAGCCAGGCAUGGUGAUGCACACCUGUAGUCCCACCUAGUUGGGAGGCUGAGGCAGGAGGAUUGCUUGAGCCUGGGAGGUUGAAACCUCAGUGAGCCUUGAUCACACGAUUGCACUCCAGCCUGGGCAACAGAGUGAGACCCUGUCUUGAAAAGAAAAAUGUUAAGUAAAUAAUAACAGAAUCACAUAUAAGGUCAAAACAGUGAUGGCUGAAAUUGUGGAUAGAGUGGACCAAAUGUGUCUGUGCUUCCUUCCAGCUCUAAAAUCCUGCUUCAGUGAUUCAGACCACAUAGUCUCCCAUUCACAGAGAACAAGAACUUGAAGCUCAGCCUAGAAUAAGCAGAUAAAGUGACAGGAGAGUAAUCCUUUGGGCCAGGCCUACCUCCUGUUAAUUUGGAAGGACUUGAGAAGUUCUUGCACAUAUACUGGCCUUCUGGCAUUACCUUAUUUAUUUAUUCAUUCAUUAACUCAGUCAGUCACUGAGCACCUUCUGCCUAGUAGGCCCUGGACAAUGACAGCUCUGAUGCUUCUUCCCUCCUAAUGUAAAGCAAGCUACACCAACCCCCGCUCCCACUGGAGCCUGUCUACUCUGUGGCCUGGCAUAUGCCUGGCGGUGAUGUGUGUGCUGAAAGUGGAAUAGCCACAGCCUAGGCAGAGCCCUGCCCUCCCUUUGCUGCACUGUCUCUGUCCAUCUCUGCCUUCCUCAUCUUAUUGCCAUCCACACUUUGAGGCCUGGUGAGCAAAUGAUUUUGCUUCCAUGAGAGCAGCAGAAAUAGUUGCUUUAUCUCUUUCUUCAUAUAGGUCCUCAUGGUUAUCAAGCUGGAAAGAAAUCCCCAAGGGCCUCUUCUCUCACCUUUUAUAGAUGCGAAACAGAGGGCCAAGGGGGCAGGCAGUUCCCACAGUCCACAUCUAAUUCAUCAGCAAAUCCUUUCAGCUCUACUUUUAUUGAUUGAUUGAUUGAUUGAUUGAGAACAGGGUCUUGCUGUGUCUUCCAGGCUGAAGUGCAGUGGCACAGUCAUGGCUCACUGCAGCCUCAGCCUCCUGGGCUCCAGCAGUCCUCCCACCUCAGCCUCCAGAAUAGCUGGAACAUGCCAUCACGCCCAGCUACUUUGUGUCAUUUUUUUGUAAAAAUAGGGUUUUCUCAUGUUGCCCAGACUGGUCUGAAACUUUUGGACUCACACAGUCCUCUCACCUCGGCCUCCCAAGUGCUGGGAUUGUAGACAUGAGCCACUGCACCUGGCCCAGCCUUACUUUAAAAAAUAAAUUCUGAAACUGACUGCUUCUCACCAACUCCCCUGGCACCAUUGUGGCUAAGCCACCAUCAUAUUUUCCUGAUUAUCUCACCAGAGGCCUGGAGAUCUCCACCCAGCAGCCAGAGGGAUGCUAUUUAACACCAAGGUCAGGUCGUGUCCUUCCCCUGCUCAAAACCCUGCAGUGCUUUCCCAGGACAAGCCCAAGUCUUUAAAUGGCCUACCAGGCCCUACACAAUUGGGCCCUUGGCUACCUCCACAUCUCAUCACCACCAGUCUCCUCACAUUCACUGGACUUCAGCCACACUGGCAUUUUUCCUGUUCCUGGAGCACCUCAAGCAUGUUCCUGCCUCUGGGCCUUUGCACUUGUUCCCACAGCGUUUUCUCAGACCUUGGCAGUGCCUGUUCCCUCACUUCAUUCAGGUCUCUGAUCAAAUUCACCUCCUCAAGAAGUUGUCCCUGACCAUGGAUUCUAAUCUUACCUUCUUCCAUGUUUCUCUGUACCCCCUUUCUCACAUUUAUUCUUUCUUAAUGCAUCACCAUCUGACAUGUUUAUUGCCUGUCUCUUCCCAUUUGAUUAUAAACUCAUACAGGUAGGAAUUUUCAUUCUAUUUAGUCACUGAUUUAUCCCCAGCGCUUAGCACAGUGCCUGACUCUUAGUGGGCACUUAAUGAAGAUUUGUUGAAUGACUUAGUGUCCAAAGCUAGGCAGGGCAGCUUGUCUGGGCCUUCCUACAACUCCAUAGGUCAGCCUGUCUUACAAAUAGGUCAUGUCCCGUCUUAGAAAACUCAUCUAAUAGCUUCACCAAAGCUACCUGGCAUCACUUUGUUUCCAAGAUAAAGAUCAGACAGAGGGAGGAACUCUCUCUGCAAGUACUGUCCUUGCAGAGCUGGCUUAGGGGAAAGUGGGUUCACCACUGAGUAGCCUCAGCACACUCUUCCCUUUCUCACCCCUCGAGGCACCCAGGAAACCAGGGGGGAAUGCUACUUCCAUGUACUUAAAGUCAUCUCUGACUUCCAAGGCCUAAGAAUAGCAGAUUGUCAGUAAAUAUUGGGUAGGUGAACAAUAUUUUUUGUCAGUAAAUAUUGGGUAGGUAGUAAAUAUUGGGUGAAGGAAAGAAGGUCUUAGUAAAAUCUCUUCAUGUAUCCUGUUGCACUGGUAAAUUUAACAUGCUGUGAAGUUGAAUGCCCUCACUAGUAACCAGGGACCUCAAGCAAAGUCUCAUCACCUCUCUGAAUUUUAGUUUCCUCAUUGGUAAAAUGGGAACAGCACCUACUUGCAAGAUUUUGAGAAUUCAAACAGUAAAUAUUAGUUCAGCAAAUACUAGCUGUUACUUUUUGUUUGUUUAUAGCUACAAAUAAGAGAGACACUAUGAGAAGCACAAAUGGAGCCAUUCAUUUUUUAGCUAUAAAAAAACAGGCUGGGUGCAGUGGCUAAUGCCUGUAAUCCCAGCACUUUGGGAGGCUGAGGUAGGUGGAUCACUUGAGGCCAGGAGUACGAGACCAGCCUGGCCAACAUAGCAAAACCCCGUCUCCACUAAAAAUACAAAAAUUAGCCUACAAAAAUACAAAAAUUAGUGUGGUGGCACAUGCCUAUAAUCCCAGCUACUCGGGAGGCUGAGGCACAAGAAUCGCUUGAACCCAGGAGGCAGAGGUUGCAGUGAGCAGAGAUCACACCACUGCACUCCAGCCUGGGCGACAGAGACAGAGUGAGACUUCGUCUCAAAUAAUAACAAUAAUAAUAAUAACAGCAGCCGCAGCAGCUAACAUUUACAGAACACUUACCAUGGAC